UACGUAGGGAGCAAGCGUUGUCCGGAAUCAUUGGGCGUAAAGCGCGCGUAGGUGGCUUCGUAAGUCCGCUGUGAAAGUCAAAGGCUCAACCUUUGAAAGCCGGUGGAUACAUGCGGAGCUAGAGUCCGGAAGAGGCGAGUGGAAUUCCUGGUGUAGCGGUGGAAUGCGCAGAUAUCAGGAGGAACACCAAUAGCGAAGGCAGCUCGCUGGGACGGUACUGACACUGAGGCGCGAAAGCGUGGGGAGCGAACAGGA
rnacentral:rRNA from 1 species